AUUGAACGCUGGCGGCAUGCCUUACACAUGCAAGUCGAACGGCAGUAUGGGUGCUUGCACCUGAUGGCGAGUGGCGAACGGGUGAGUAAUGCAUCGGAACGUGCCCUGAAGUGGGGGAUAACGUAGCGAAAGUUACGCUAAUACCGCAUAUUCUGUGAGCAGGAAAGAGGGGGAUCGCAAGACCUCUUGCUUUAGGAGCGGCCGCGGUCGGAUUAGCUAGUUGGUGGGGUAAAGGCCUACCAAGGCGACGAUCCGUAGCGGGUCUGAGAGGGUGAUCCGCCACACUGGGACUGAGACACGGCCCAGACUCCUACGGGAGGCAGCAGUGGGGAAUUUUGGACAAUGGGCGCAAGCCUGAUCCAGCCAUGCCGCGUGAGUGAAGAAGGCCUUCGGGUUGUAAAGCUCUUUCGGUGGGGAAGAAAUUGCUUCGGCUAAUAUCCGGAGUAGAUGACGGUACCCGCAUAAGAAGCACCGGCUAACUACGUGCCAGCAGCCGCCGUAA
rnacentral:rRNA from 1 species